rnacentral:rRNA from 1 species
AGUUGUUGCAGUUAAAAAGCUCGUAGUUGGAUUUCUGUUAAUAAUUUAUAUAAAAUAUUUUGAUGAAUAUUUAUAUAAUAUUAACAUAAUUCAUAUUACUAUAUAUUUUAGUAUAUGAAAUUUUACUUUGAGAAAAUUAGAGUGCUUAAAGCAGGCAUAUGCCUUGAAUACUCCAGCAUGGAAUAAUAUUAAAGAUUUUUAUCUUUCUUAUUGGUUCUAAGAUAAGAAUAAUGAUUAAUAGGGACAGUUGGGGGCAUUUGUAUUUAACAGUCAGAGGUGAAAUUCUUAGAUUUGUUAAAGACAAACUAGUGCGAAAGCAUUUGCCAAGGAUGUUUUCAUUAAUCAAGAACGAAAGUUAGGGGAUCGAAGACGAUCAGAUACCGUCGUAGUCUUAACCAUAAACUAUGCCAACUAGAGAUUGGAGGUUGUUCCUUACUCCUUCA